AGCCCCGGACCAAGGCGCCCGCCGGAGGACCAACCAAAACUCUUUUUGUAUACCCCCUCGCGGGUUUUUUAUACUCUGAGCCUUCUCGGCGCCUCUCGUAGGCGUUUCGAAAAUGAAUCAAAACUUUCAACAACGGAUCUCUUGGUUCUGGCAUCGAUGAAGAACGCAGCGAAAUGCGAUAAGUAAUGUGAAUUGCAGAAUUCAGUGAAUCAUCGAAUCUUUGAACGCACAUUGCGCCCGCCAGUAUUCUGGCGGGCAUGCCUGUCCGAGCGUCAUUUCAACCCUCGAACCCCUCCGGGGGGUCGGCGUUGGGGAUCGGCCCUGCCUCUUGGCGGUGGCCGUCUCCGAAAUACAGUGGCGGUCUCGCCGCAGCCUCUCCUGCGCAGUAGUUUGCACACUCGCAUCGGGAGCGCGGCGCGUCCACAGCCGUUAAACACCCAACUUCUGAAAUGUUGACCUCGGAUCAGGUAGGAAUACCCGCUGAACUUAA
rnacentral:sRNA from 1 species